rnacentral:lncRNA from 1 species
UGGGUACCUGACUUCUGCCUUGCACUGCUCUGCUGCUACAGGAGGACUGCAGCUUCCUAUCAACUAGAUAUGGGUGUGCAAAGAAAGUAACUGAUUAAAAC